rnacentral:rRNA from 1 species
AGCAGCCGCGGUAAUUCCAGCUCCAAUAGCGUAUAUUAAAGUUGUUGCAGUUAAAAAGCUCGUAGUUGAAUUUCGGGGUCAGUAGGUUGGUCGUGCCACUGGUAUGCACUGGCCUCACUGAUUCCUCCCUCUUGUAGAACCGUAAUGCCAUUAAGUUGGUGUUGCGGGGAAACAGGACUGUUACUUUGAAAAAAUUAGAGUGUUUAAAGCAGGCUAACGCUUGAAUACACUAGCAUGGAAUAAUGAAAUAGGACGAUCGAUCCUAUUUCGUUGGUUUCUAGGAUUGACGUAAUGAUUAAUAGGGAUAGUUGGGGGCAUUAGUAUUCAAUUGUCAGAGGUGAAAUUCUUGGAUUUAUUGAAGACUAACUACUGCGAAAGCAUUUGCCAAGGAUGUUUUCAUUAAUCAAGAACGAAAGUUAGGGGAUCGAAGACGAUCAGAUACCGUCGUAGUCUUAACCAUAAACUAUGCCGACUAGGGAUCGGAUGAUGUUAAUUUUUUAAUGACUCAUUCGGCGCCUUACG